rnacentral:tRNA from 1 species
GGGCGCAUAGCUCAGUUGGUAGAGCAGCUGACUCUUAAUCAGCGGGUCCGUGGUUCGAGCCCACGUGCGCCCACCA